AAAGGGAAGAGUUAGGCUUAGGGUCACGUGGGUGUCACCACAGGUACUGAGCUGCGCUUGGGGCCCCGCCAGGUGUACCCGCCCAGAGGCGUCUCCCGCUUAGGACCCUUCACCCCACCGGACACUGGAGUAGAGCGAGGCCGACCCAUGGAAGUUGCAUCCUGGACAGUCCGGGCUGCGACGCUGAAGAGCACCGAGCCAGUGCUCGGCCGAGCCUCCCGCCCGGAUCCCGGGCAAAGACCGCCCAAAACCUGCUGUUGACCUUCGUCUGCACUGCUCAAUGGUGACCCGAGUCUUCGCUGUCCUAGUUGCAGCCAUUUGGCAUCCCCAAGACUGCCAGAGCACCCGGGAUCUGCAAACCUGGCCUAAUCUUACUGAUGCUUGGAGGACUGUAAACAAGAAGUGCUAACUGGGCUUAGUCCUGAAGGACCCUGCUUCUGACUCUCAAGGUUCAGUCACUGCUUUGAAGACGUCACAAGCCGGACCCAGCUGGCAAUACACAGCAUCUUAACAUUGAGAGAAAAGUUCGUGGUGGUGCUCUGGCUGAGCGUUUUAAACAGGACCUGAGUAAAAGAUGUCAUUGAAAUG
rnacentral:lncRNA from 1 species